rnacentral:rRNA from 1 species
UAGGGAAUCUUCGGCAAUGGGGGCAACCCUGACCGAGCAACGCCGCGUGAGUGAAGAAGGUUUUCGGAUCGUAAAGCUCUGUUGUAAGAGAAGAACGUGUGUGAGAGUGGAAAGUUCACACAGUGACGGUAACUUACCAGAAAGUCACGGCUAACUACGUGUCAG